AGUCGAACGGCAGCACGGGAGCAAUCCUGGUGGCGAGUGGCGAACGGGUGAGUAAUAUAUCGGAACGUGCCCAGUCGUGGGGGAUAACGUAGCGAAAGCUACGCUAAUACCGCAUACGAUCUACGGAUGAAAGCGGGGGACUCGCAAGAGCCUCGCGCGAUUGGAGCGGCCGAUAUCAGAUUAGGUUGUUGGUGAGGUAAAAGCUCACCAAGCCUGCGAUCUGUAGCUGGUCUGAGAGGACGACCAGCCACACUGGAACUGAGACACGGUCCAGACUCCUACGGGAGGCAGCAGUGGGGAAUUUUGGACAAUGGACGCAAGUCUGAUCCAGCAAUGCCGCGUGCAGGACGAAGGCCUUCGGGUUGUAAACUGCUUUUGUACGGAACGAAAAGGUCUGCUUUAAUACAGUGGGCUCAUGACGGUACCGUAAGAAUAAGCACCGGCUAACUAC
rnacentral:rRNA from 1 species